rnacentral:rRNA from 1 species
GGUAUGGGAUGAGCUUGCGUCCGAUUAGCUAGUUGGCGGGGCAACGGCCCACCAAGGCGACGAUCGGUAGCCGGCCUGAGAGGGUGAUCGGCUACAUUGGGACUGAGAUACGGCCCAGACUCCUACGGGAGGCAGCAGUAGGGAAUAUUGCACAAUGGGGGGAACCCUGAUGCAGCAACGCCACGUGUGGGAAGAAGCAUUUCGGUGUGUAAACCACUGUCAUGAGGGAAUAAGGCCUAUUUUCGGAUAGGAUUGAAUGUACCUUGAGAGGAAGCACCGGCAAACUUCGUGCCAGCAGCCGCGGUAAUACGAGGGGUGCAAGCGUUGUUCGGAAUUACUGGGCGUAAAGGGAGCGUAGGCGGAGAUUCAAGCGGAUUGUACAAUCCCGGGGCCCAACCCCGGCUCUGCAGUCCGAACUGGAUCUCUUGGAUAGUUCAGGGGCAGGC